CAUUGGGGUUCCUUGUGAAGUUCAAGAUUUUACAUCUAAGAUGAGUUAUCCCAGGGAGCAGUCCUUACUAAGACACAACAUGUGACAAAAUGACAGGGAGGGUGCAUUUGACUGAGAGGGAAGUUCUGUCUAAUUUAGUUGUCCAGCAGUACCAGAAAAGAUCAGAAACAUCCUGGCAGCACUUGAGUUGAAGUCCCACUGCAAAAAAUGUCUCUUUUCACCAUUUGGCAAGAGGUGAAUAUGCCCAUGGAGAUGCAGUCUGAGACUUAAGAUUACAACUCUUUUUCAAUUGUUUUUGCUAUCCUUAGAAUCUACCGGGCAAUGUGGAGAAGCUCUCUCAGAUCCUUGGAAAGAACCUGAACAGCCAGCAGAUAAACGCUGUGGUAGAAAAUGCCUCUUUCCAUAAGAUGAAGGAUAACAACAUGUCCAACUUCACUCAGUCACCACUUUUCAAUCAGAGCACAGGAAAGUUCAUGAGGAAAGGGAUCUCUGGUGAUUGGAAGAACCACCUGACCGUGGCCCAGAAUGAAUACUUUGACCGUGUGUAUCAGGAGAAAAUGCAGGACAUAAAGACAAUCCCAGUAUGGGAGUGAAGAAUACCAGAUGUUCUGUAUGCAAACAUUCUUAUCUCUCCAAGGUUUUGGGCAUCAUGAUAGUAAAUAUAAGAAGCUUAUUCAAAAGUUUUUUUUAUUGCUGUAGAACAAAUUACUCCAAGAUAUCAGCAAAUAAAAGGAGGCAUUAUGUUUUGAAUAGUAGAAAAGCCUAAAGGUUAAUACUGUGCUAUAUUCUGAAUGGUUAGCCUAAAGGGUUAGCACUGUCCCAUGAUUUAUCAUUGAUAUAUCAUAGAUUGAAACCACUGUUGAAAUCCUGCAUCAAAAAUGGGAUGUUAAAAUCUAUACCUUGUCUUCCAUCUCUCCUUCCUCGAAACCCACCUUUUUCAUCCUGCCCCACUCUUUUUUGAUGUGCCAUGGGCUGCUGCUGUAGAAAGAUGCUGGCUAAUGCCUCUGGGUACAAAUCAAAUGACAACAUCGUCCUUUGAAAUCUUGCAGAAGAUGCCCAACAACCUCUCUAGAGUUGUUUAAUUAUCACCUUGGAUAUUCACAAAUUAAAUAAAACUAAACUCACAACAUUUA